rnacentral:rRNA from 1 species
AGCGAACGCUGGCGGCAGGCUUAACACAUGCAAGUCGAGCGGGCACUUUCGGGUGUCAGCGGCGGACGGGUGCGUAACGCGUGGGAACGUGCCCUCUGGUUCGGAAUAACUCAGGGAAACUUGAGCUAAUACCGGAUACGCCCUUUUGGGGAAAGGCUUGCUGCCGGAUGAUCGGCCCGCGUCUGAUUAGCUAGUUGGUGAGGUAACGGCUCACCAAGGCGACGAUCAGUAGCUGGUCUGAGAGGAUGAGCAGACACACUGGGACUGAGACACGGCCCAGACUCCUACGGGAGGCAGGAGUGGGGAAUAUUGGACAAUGGGCGCAAGCCUGAUCCAGCCAUGCCGCGUGAGUGAUGAAGGCCUUAGGGUUGUAAAGCUCUUUUAUCCGGGACGAUAAUGACGGUACCGGAGGAAUAAGCCCCGGCUAACUUCGUG